CUUACUGUGCUUGUUAGGAUUUGUUGUGCAGUGUUGACUGGAGUGAUAGUAGAGGACUUCCUGCCCAUAUUUCUUAUUUCAAGGGAGACAUUCUCAGUGUUUCAUCAGUUUGCCCCUGAAACGUGUGUAAAGUGAAAGGUGGUAACCCUCGGUCAUCCCAUGGCGUUAGGAGCUGCACACUGCGCUGGUCGCUGGCCACACAGCUACACGCCAAGAGGCUUCUACACAGAAAGAGCUGAGGCCCUAGUGCGUGAGACGGAUGCCGACAGUGUGUGGUGUGGAUGGUGGGGCAAGGCCGGAGGAGCACGAGCGCCACUCACCAGGAAGAUAUAAGGAGGCUCAGAGAACGUGUGUGGGAGAAUGGGGUGGCAAGUGUACUGGAGAAGGUGCACGUGCACAGCAUGUGAGUCUAGUGCCCGAGCAGCAGCGUGCCCCUGGGAGAGGUGGGCAGGAGCCAUGUUCUGCAGAACCCUACCCACCAGGAGAGCUUCUCCAACUUGCCUGGGCUCCCCGCUCCCAUGUUUCCCAUUUAGCAGGUCUGCACAGGGGCCCAGAGAACAUCUCAGACAAGUUCCCAGUGUUGCUGCUGCUGCCAGGCUGGGACCCACACCUUGAGAAGCACUGCCUGGAGGAACCACCCAUGGGUGAAGGACAGGGCCGUGCCGAGCCAAGCCAGCUUGCGUCCUGCUCCCAGCUCCACAUCCAAGAUGCAGACCAGAUGAUGUGCUGCUCCUUCUUCAGCUGAGUGCUCCUAAGCGUGACCCAUUGAAACGGAAGGAGAACCGCGCAGCAGAAAGACGUCGGCAGGCACUCCCCAAUGUCCCCAGCCCCCGGAGAGACCCUCAGCACCCGUGGACACUGAAGGUUCUUGUUAGUCCCUGCAGUAAAGGAACCUUGAGAGUCGUUUAAGGUAGGCUUCCUGAACUGACAUGACCAUGUAAUUCAAGGGGCUAGUGAUAUCCUUCUGGAUCUUUCUUUGAGGAAAGCAAAGCAGCAGAGAACAUGCCUCUUAUACAGCUUUGUUUUGUUUUGCAAUGUUUAUUUGAAAAGCCCUUUGUCAGAAUGUGGAGGUGAGAGCUCCCUGCUCCAUCUCUGAAAGGCCCGUGGUGGCCCUGGCAGUCUCGUCCUCCCCCCUGGCCCUGGCAUCCCCAAGCCUCCUGCCAACACAGAACCGCGCACAGAGAACAGGCACACGAGGGGAGCAACAUGUUCUUUUAUUGAUGCAAGUACGUCCAGUCACACCAACAGUUGACAUCCUUUAUUAUUAUAAAGUACAGCUUUAUACGCAGAGUUCAUCUCGAAAUACCAAAACAUCAUAGGGUAUGUGUCAAAUUGGGAAAAUAAAGUAGCAAAUGUAGCACUGUGUCAGGUCGGUACUAGAACUGAUGACCAAGUGAAGCGCACACUGAUGUGAAAGCUCCUUAACACAUGGACAGAAAAGGUUCUAACAUUGUAUUCCAAAUAUAUAUUCUCAAGUUUUAAACCUUUCUUUAUCUCAAAUACAUAAACAAAGCAAUAUGUACUGUCAAUAUACAAUAUGUACUAUCUAGAACGUCUGGAAAGUGCAAAAACACUGUGACAAUACAGUGUAAAUAUCCUUGCUCCACCCUGGGCUGAGGGCGACAUGAGCAGCGGAUCAUGGAGCCACCUCCCCCUGAGGCCUCGCCUUCACAUCUCCAGGCUCUCCUAGGAGUUUUGGGAAUUAGCAACUAACUGUCCUUACCCAGGCCUGCCAGCUGGAGGCUCCGGCGGAAGCCAGCCAUGUGGCGAGAAACAGGGUGAGUAGUUCCAAAUCUGCUUGGAUGGAAUGACAGCCCCGCCAUGAGGGAGAUACAGUCAGCAUGGAUUGCCCAUUUCUGGCCUUGGAGGGAGCAGGGCUAUCACUGUCCCAUGGCCGGGAAGUCAGAAAAUGGAGAGUACUCCUCGAGUUCGGGUGUGGAAAAUACCUCCAAAUGUUGUUGGGCAGCUUUAUGUGAGUGGGCUCCAGCAGAUACUGGCCUGGCUAACCUUCCAUGUUUCACACUCCGUUAGGGGAGCUCAAUCCCCCACCCAGAGGGAAGGAGGAUACUGAUUUGUAAGUUGCUUCUUUUGACUUUGUACUUGAGUUUCAAGAUGGCUUUAUACGUCCCCAUCCUUAAUUAUACUUUGUAUUCGCUUUAUUACAGCUAAGUAAGUGUGUCAAAGUUAACAGCCUGGAAAACGGACAAUUCCAUGACUCCCUCCUUACGUUAUUUUAGAUUUUCUCUUUUCCUAAAAUGUAGGUGAAGAACAAUUUGCCAGACAUCUUCCAACAGAAAAUAUGCUGCCAGGUGUCCCCCUGCCCUCCCCCCAACCCCCAUAAAUCCCUGAUAAAGGAAAAUGAAAAUGUAAACUUUGGAAAGCCCGUAUUCAAGGUUCACUUCUGGAAGUACGCAAAUGAGACCUCCGGGCCACCCGAGCCCUUCUUGCCAGAACCUUGUGGGCCUGCGCUUUGAGGGCAGAGCUUCCCCGGUGCCUCCAGCGGCACUGGCUGCAGGCGAGAACGGGCCUGCCAGAACCCUCUAAGGCACUCACCCCGACAUCAGAGACACUGGCUGGAAAGGAGGCAGGGCUCACGUUGGUUUUGGUUGGGUUUUUUUAAGUAUUUUUUUGUAAGAUGUUUGUUAAUAAUCAAAAGUAGAAAAUAAAAAUCUACAUUUCAUUAGAAUAAGACGUUAUCAUGGAUGCCAUCUCCCAUGAUACUCUUUCCCCACCCCUCCCCAAAGCAGGGCCCUGCCCUGUCAUAAACAAAAAGCUUUAAGUGCCAAAGGUUGAUGCAUGAAAUAAUUACUUCUUUUUUUUCAUAAAAGUUAUGUACAAAAUGGACCCCAACCAGUGAGGCCUCAUCUCAGCCCAUUAUCACUCAAGAUUAAAACUCAGUACGUAGGUGUGCUUAAUCCCAGCGUCUGCAGGCUGCAUCCGUACCUUCAGGCUCUGUUAAGGAGAGUGGUCCUAAAGGUGAGCAGGGAACGAGGAAGUGGUCAGGCGGGCAGGCCCUUCCCCUGAGCAAGCAGAGGGCAGGCUUGUGCUACUAGGGGAAGGCCCGGCUGCCUAGAACCGCCCAUUGAGGGAGGGGUCAGGGACGUUCAAACCCCAAGUCCUCAGCCUGUACCGGGGAUGCCUUCCUCUCCCCGGUCUGCGGAGAGGUGCCCUCGGCCGCCUUUCAAAAGGGCAGACCCAUCAUGCCUACCCCCACCCCAUCCUUUCCCUUCCUUGUAGACUCUGGUAUGGGGCUGGUCUUGGGGGCUCACCGGACUGCUGCUGGAGUUCUCCUACCUGAGGGUCUUCCAGCUGUCCUUUUCCAUGUGGUUCUCGGGACCUUCACUUUCGAAGGAGGCGAUGAAGAGAGCUGAGAGACGAGAAGCCCCGCAGAAGCCAUGUCCACACCCGGUCAGUCUGCCUCCCACCCCGGUUAUCCCUUCUCAAACUCUCCCUCCCAGGGUGGAGCGAGGCCCGGGAACGAACUCCUAAACCAAGGGGGCAGCAACUUCGGGCCUCGGCUGGUCCACAGGCCUCUGCUGCAUGGGGUUCCUGGCAACCUGCCUGGGGACUCAGACGUUUCCUGGUUCUGCAGCACUGGCCCAACCACGUACUGGCUCUCUCAAGUGGCCUCGGGAGCCUGAUCUUUUCUUGUCCUUAUCCAUGGCCCACCCUCAUGCACUCACCCCUGUGAGCUGAGCUUCCCCAGCGUAGCAUGGGAAUAACAACCCUGGAAGGGCACCCUGCCCGAGUCAGGGUGACCUCUACAGUGUGCAGAGGUGGACCUCACCUUCCUCGCUGUAGAUGGGAGCCGUCAGCAGGUAACUCUGAAUCUUCUUGUCCUUCUCGAAGGGACACUCUACCUGUGUCCAUGUCAUGAACUCAUGGAUCUGUCUGGAGAUGUCCCAAAAUUUCUGAAGGGGCAGAAGACCAACUGGAUGUUCAUUUGUCACCUUAAGCUUGAAAACCCUGGUUAGGGCAGGGGACGUAGGCUCUGGCUUUGGUCAGCUGAUCAUUUCCCUGGUCCCAGAGAGACUGGACGGUGGCCCUACAAAGCUGACUCCGUAGCCGUGGAAGUACUCUGUACAACAGGGCCAGCCGGUGUCUCCAAGGCCAUUCAGUCCUGCCCUCCGCCUGAGCCACCGGGCUGCAGCCAGGUCUGUGCUUCUGCUGUGCAUGACCCCCAAGAAGCCCCUCAUCUGUCACUCCAGGCUGAGGCAGGCGUCCCAGCCACACCCAGCACAGCCCCACCAACCAGAACACCCCAGGAUCUCACUCUGGGGCCCUCGGGCUCCUAGCACUGUAACCAGAUCAUCCACCCAGAACUGGGGCCACCCUCAUACCUUGAGGUCACGGCACCCAUGACCCACCCUGGAGCCUUCAGUCCUAAAAGGCCCUUCUGCCACAGGGCCUCGGCCUGGCAGCUCUCAUGGCACAGACGGAUUCUGCCUGUCCUAAAGCAAGGCCAGGAAGUCUGCCCUACCCUGUGCUGGGACAGCCUGGCCCCCUCCCCUCAGACCACAAGGGGGCUGAGCUGACCUUGAAGUUAAUGUGUCCAUUGGGCAGGUGGUUGGUGUGGAUUUUGUGCAGGAAGUAGAUGUCCUUAACGAAGAGGUUGAACACAGGGAUGACGAUCUUCUCCCGGCUGCUAUUGGCCAUCUGGGAUCUCUGUGUGGCCCCCUGCAGGGCUGUGCGGUAGUUGCAGAAGUUGCUGGAUGGGUCCAUGUGGUGCUGUGGGCAGACGGGAGGAUAUGGUGGGCACUGCUCCCCCUGCACCCGUCAGAGCUGCUCAGGAGGCCCCUUUACAGGAAGCAGCUCAGGGUGGCCCUGUACCAUCACCAGAAGAGGCCGCCUCUCCAGGAGUGAGCACAGGGGAAGGAAGCCCACAGGCACGUGUCUGAGCACUGGGCUGGGACUUUCUGGCUUUGGGUCCAGGCGUCACGGGGCAAGCUGUAGAGAAAUCUUGAAGCUCACACACACCUCCUCCCUGCCCUGCUAAGUCUGGGUCUCCCCUCCUUCCUUUCAAAACCUUCCUUUGCCCUUGUGCUUUCACAGACACCUCCCAAACCUGACCAGCUCCACAAGACACACACUUGCAAAAACUGGAUUCUCUGAUCAAAUACAUCUGGUCAAGGCUGUAGACUCGCCUCUCAGCCCCUGGGCCCCCCAGACGGUCCGAGACCAUGGAAGUCGAACGAGAAAAAGGCCAGUCUCUGCUUGGUAGGCACUGCCCAACCUGGGGCUGUCGGCCUGCUUUUGCCGACAAACUCCUUGCUGAUCUUUCCCCCAAGCUUUGCUUUAGGCGAUGCCAGUUCUGACUCAAGGCCCAAGGGCCGAGGAGAGCAUGGGCUACCUGCCUUCUGGGGGCGCCGCGGCCAGGUAAGCGGACACACCCAACAUCAGACGGCACUCGGGGCAGCAGGCCCUCAGCAAGGGGCCAGAGCGUGAUGGGACGCCCAGCCCUCCUCAGGCUGACUCGGGACAAGACAGGGUGCCUACCUCUAAGACGUCGAACUUGGCCGUCUUGACUUUGGACCAGGUUUUCUUCAGCCUUGCCACAGGACUGAGGUUCA